rnacentral:lncRNA from 1 species
UCUACUCAUAGCUGAAUUUAAGGGCUAAAUUUACCAAAUCUAAAAGCUAAAUUUAGAAGGAUUAUUAUUUUUCACUCCAUGAACAUAAGUACUGCGAUCAUGCAUUAUCACGGACAGCUUCUUCAUUCACGGACAGCUUCUUCAUUCGAUGAAUUUGAUGGGUUAGGGAUAUAAGUUGAAGAAGAAACACUUUAAACAUAUUAAUCAUAUCUGCAAACAAAUAAAAGAAAAAGGAAAAGAAAUUGGUUGCCAAAUUCCAACACUUGCAAAAUAAAUUAACAAGCAAAACAGAGACAAAAGUUAAUAGAAAUAAACAUAUUUUGCUCGAAAACAAAAAUAUUCAUAAGCUAUGAACAGAUCAACUCAAUUAUCUUAAAGGAAAAUUAGAGAAUAAGAAUGUUGUAACUCAUUUUAUUAGAAAUAAGGUAGAAUAUAUUUAAUUAUAGAUAUAAAUUAAAAAAAAAAGGUGAUGAUGAAUUCAUUCUCUUACAUAUAUGAAAAAGAGAGAGUGAGAGAGCAAAUUAUAGCAUUCAAGUUUUCAGUAUAAGUGUAUAACAUCUAGUUUCAAGAAAGUGUGCUUAUUUCUCAUUAUAUAAAAAACAAUGAUUUUCCAGCUAAAAAAAAAUUCAUAAUAAAAUUUAAUAUCUAAUACAACAUAGUAUGUUUUUUUCAAAAAAAGGCUUGCAAUUAUGUCUUUUAGCCACCAAGCCUAAGUGUGAGAGUAAAGCAUUUAACUCUUGAUAAUUACACACUUUCUGCAUAAUGCAAUUAGUGUCAACUCAUUCCAAAUUACUCUACUAGAAUAAUAAAACAUUUCAGCCAUUAUAUUGAUGGAGCUACUAAUCCAAAAUAUUCACAAUAAAUAUAGAGUUCAAGGCAAUUAAGAGAUGUACCUCUUAAAGCUCUGCAUAUUCUCUAUCUUUCUAAGGCAAUCUUUAAUUCAUAUAGUUCCACCCCCUUUGAAUUCACAAACCUAGACUUUACAAACAAAGGCCUUAUAUAAUUAAUCUUGAUACCUUUUUAACAAAAAAAUAUCACUAUAUUCAUAAAUAAAAAUCACUAGUUAAUGCUUUAACCUUGUGUUGGGCUGUCUUAGUCUGCAAAUGGCAGAGGAAUCUACGAUAAUGUGUAUGUUUUCCUGAGAAGAAAAAAGAACAAAAAAUAGGGAAAGGAAGUCAAGACUACGAAAUAAUUAUUCAAUAAGCUGAAAAAUUAUCAUAUAUCAUGCAUGUUUUAUUGAAAUUGAUGAUCAUAUAUACACUCACUCACGCACACACACUCACUACUACACACAUGUCCAUAAGAGACAACCAAUAAAGUUAGAAAAGAACAUACAAUGCAAGCCAAGACCACCGCAAACAGGACAUGCUGUGAUGUUUGAUAAAAAGCCAAGACAAAAGUAGAGGGCACAAUAAAUUUUUUUUUCCUUCUUCUUAAAUAUUGAUGUUGAUAAAUGGCUGGUUGAAUUUGAUCAAACGAGCAAGUACUUCUCAGAUCUUUGGAAAAAAAAUGCUUUUGAUUAUUCCAGCAAACACCAUAGUCCAUAAUCACCCCAAAAAAAAAAAAAAACAUUUGCUUUUGCCAUUUGCUUGCACUCUGCAUCAUCUUUAAAUAUCUUGUAUUCAUUUUAAGUACUUAAAAUGGUGUAUUAAUGUUUGAAGGAUAGAAAGAAAGCAUACACUAGGCUAUCAACUUGCAUGGAAUUGGCCAAAUAUGGCAUCUGAA